GAUGAACGCUGGCGGCGUGCCUAAUACAUGCAAGUCGAGCGAAUGGAUUAAGAGCUUGCUCUUAUGAAGUUAGCGGCGGACGGGUGAGUAACACGUGGGUAACCUGCCCAUAAGACUGGGAUAACUCCGGGAAACCGGGGCUAAUACCGGAUAACAUUUUGAACCGCAUGGUUCGAAAUUGAAAGGCGGCUUCGGCUGUCACUUAUGGAUGGACCCGCGUCGCAUUAGCUAGUUGGUGAGGUAACGGCUCACCAAGGCAACGAUGCGUAGCCGACCUGUGAGGGUGAUCGGCCAAACUGGGACUGAGACACGGCACAGACUCCUACGGGAGGCAGCAGUAGGGAAUCUUCCGCAAUGGACGAAAGUCUGACGGAGCAACGCCGCGUGAGUGAUGAAGGCUUUCGGGUCGUAAAACUCUGUUGUUAGGGAAGAACAAGUGCUAGUUGAAUAAGCUGGCACCUUGACGGUACCUAACCAGAAAGCCACGGCUAACUACGUGCCAGCCGCCGCCGUAA
rnacentral:rRNA from 1 species